rnacentral:lncRNA from 1 species
UUGUUUAUCAACCAUCCCAAACCACUGCCCUACGGUUAGCUCAACUAGUCACACCUUCUAGACCGAGGUUAGUUUAGACUGCGGUGCCUUACUUGGCAACCUCCCAUCUUUACCUUUGGUCCACAUGUUCUUAGAUUUGAUGGUGAAGACCACGCGAUGGAUUUCCAAGUCAUGCCUCCUGGACUUGUCCAACCUACGGCCAGUCAAGGGGUAACAAUUGUGCUCGUCGUAGAGGAGCGCUGGCAUCCCCAGUGCUCAAGCUAAUACCUACACCUAUAAAGCGCAUAUACUAUCUAGAGGGGAAUGGUAUCCUUAUCGGACACUUUUCGGAUAUCGAUACAUCUCGGAUGCUCAUAGAUACAUUUUUAUUAUUUCUUAAAUGUGUAUUUAAUUUGAUAAUUAUAUAUAUUUUUUAAUUUCAAGAAGUAUCGCAUUUUUUUUGGAUACUCUAGGUCUCAUAUCCGAACCAUUAUGAACCUUAAAUUAUAGCAUGCCUUACAUAAUAUUAUAUUAUAUUUUAAUAAGAUAAUUCUAUAAUAGUUUUACCAUACUUAGAUUAUUUGUUAGAAAAGAAAACUAAUGGGAGUUUAAAAUCAAGCCGUUGCAUCUUUAAUUCAUUAUAAAUGUAUCAUAUUCAUACUUUAUAGGGAAAAAAAAGUUUCUUUUUCCAGUAAACAAUUUAACUACUGCUCACAAAGCACUGUUCAAAAUCAUAUUUAGGAUUAUAUUUUAGAGUAUAUAGUUUAUUGAUGACAUGAGAGUUCAAAGUAGCAACCUUUUAGAUAAUUUUAAAACCGUUGCAUCUUUAAUUCAUCAUAUGAGACCAAUUUUAAAACCGUUGCAUCUUUAAUUCAUCAUAAGGUCUCAUAUUCAUACUUUAUAGCCAAAAAAAUAAAAGUUUAAUACUUCACUCAAUAAACAAUUUAAGAUAUUCAAAAUCAUAUUUAGUGUUAUAUUUUAGUAUAUACUUCAUUAAUAACAUAUCAUUAUCGUACUCAUACCCUAAUUUUUAGGUUCGAAAGUAUCCUUGUACCCAUAGCGUAUUAGUAGUUGCACCCUUAUUCAUUUUUCUUGGCCACAAGCUAGGUACCGAGAUACCGAGAGGGAAGGUAAUAAAUACACCAUAGCGCGGCCCUAAAACCACUUGAUAGCAAAUAACUCAACCAUGUGGUUUACUAGCUAAGCUUAUUAGACCUCAUUGUAUGCAUGUUAGGUAUAUAAACGAUAUAAAUAAGUCAUCUGUCUAAUUUAUAAAUGAGAAAGGAAAGAGAGAGAAAAUGGAGGCAAAGAAUGCCCUUGUCAUGGGAUUCGAGAAGAUUUACCACAAAUUAUCACCCCUAAAGUAAAAUACAAUUCCUUGGGGUUAUAGGGGAGAGAUCACAAGAGGAGAAGGAUUUGACACAAAUCAUUUGGUUCCAAUCUUAGCUUAUGAUAUUCACUCAUCAAAGAGAAUAUUAAGUAAAUAAUAAAGUUAAAUCAUGAAUGCAGUCAAAAUCAAAGGCUAUAAUAAUGACGACCUAGCAAAAUAAGUAGAGAUAAGCAUUUAAACUAGCAAAGAGCAUGUGUCUUGUAUACGGUGACCAAGUGACAAAGUAAAUGGAAACAUUAUUUUGAAAACACUCCAAAAUGGCCAAAUUUGCCAAAUAACUAUAUUCAAUACAGAAACCAACCAAAAUAAGAAACAUGCUAUGCCAAAUAAAGUCUAAACAGGAAUCAUCACAAACAGGCUAAAUACAAAAAAAAUAGCCUAAUAAAGCCAACAUACUAAUUCAACAUAAAAGCAUAAUUAACCACGCCAUUCUAAUCAAGAUGAACAUACUCACUCGGCAGGAACAAUCUUAAACUAAUCAUGUAGAGCCACGUAAAAGCAUGUUGAGCAUGGUGGAUGAAAUUCUAAUCUAACGACAACACGAAGUACCAAAGAAAAACUAAUCUAAUGUUACUAUAGGCAUAGACAAACUCUUAGACUAACACGCAUGAGCUAAUAACGGAAUCAUUUUGGUUGCCCUUAAACCUAUGAAGUAUUGACACACCUCCUAGGUCCCAUAUCUGUGUCCGACACGUACAGGACACAGUCACUUGGGGGACACGGAAAUAUACGUAUGGGGUUCGCCAUAUGUCGUGUCCCAUUAUUUUUAUUAAAGUUUUCUGUGGGGACAUGACAUGGACAAGUGAGGGACAAGUUGGACAUAUGAAAGAGGUACAUUUUAUAAUUUUAAAAUGUUAUUUCGGUGUCAUAGUGUAAUAUUAGAAAAAUAUUGAAAACAAUUUAUAAAAGAGUAAAAGUUAUGUGUAUACAUUUAUUUCAAAACUCUUACCAACAUUCUCUCUCUUUCUCUGUGUGAGGGAUUGAUCCAAACCUUUCGGAGAUCAAUCGACUUCUAGCGACCUCCAGCAAUUUGGUGAGGCAUAUUUGACCUUCCACGUUUUGCCUUGUGUCUAAUGGUUUGUGUUUUUGAUAGAUCAUUUAUUGAUCAUGUAGGAUUAAUCUUCAUUUCAA